CCUACGGGAGGCUGCAGCUAGGAAUCUUGGGAAUGGGCGAAAGCCUGACCCAGCAACGCCGCGUGGGCGAUGAAGGCCUUCGGGUCGUAAAGCCCUUUUGCAGGGGAAGAUGAUGACGGUACCCUGCGAAUAAGCCACGGCUAACUACGUGCCAGCAGCCGCGGUAAUACGUAGGUGGCAAGCGUUGUCCGGAUUUACUGGGCGUAAAGGGCGUGCAGGCGGUUCGUUAAGUCCAGGGUGAAAGCUCCCGGCUCAACUGGGAGAGGUCCUUGGAUACUGGCGGACUCGAGGGGGGUAGAGGAGAGUGGAAUUCUCGGUGUAGUGGUGAUAUGCGUAGAUAUCGAGAGGAACACCAGUGGCGAAGGCGGCUCUCUGGGCCCUACCUGACGCUGAGACGCGAAAGCGUGGGGAGCGAACCGGAUUAGAUACCCUAGUAGUC
rnacentral:rRNA from 1 species